rnacentral:rRNA from 1 species
GACGAGCUACACAAACGUUAUUCGGAAUUACUGGGCUUAAAGGGUGCGUAGGCUGCGCGGAAAGUUGGGUGUGAAAUCCCUCGGCUCAACCGAGGAACUGCGCCCAAAACUACCGUGCUCGAGGAAGAUAGAGGUGAGCGGAACUUACGGUGGAGCGGUGAAAUGCGUUGAUAUCGUAAGGAAGACCAGUGGCGAAGGCGGGUCUCUGGACAGUUCCUGACGCUGAGGCACGAAGGUCAGGGGAGCAAACGGG